rnacentral:lncRNA from 1 species
UAGAUACUUGAUUCGUAUCUUUAACUGAGUAUGGGAGCCAAGACUAGAAAACUAAAUCGGGAAGAACAUGAACCUGUCUGGCCUGAAUAGACAGUGGGAGUAUCAAAGGGGGAGAGGGGACCUCAUAGCUUGCAGGAAGAUUGUGGUGAGUAUGUGUAGCUCAGUGAGGAGUAGUGCAUUUAGGAAAGCUUUCUAAGGGUUAAGUAGGUUUUCAAGACGUCUGAUAGGUAUCAGAGUAAACCUGGUACUUAACCGCGGGUGCUAGUGUUGUGGUAUUUCUAAACCUCAUUUUCUUAUGGAAAUGAAAUCGUGAAACCGCUGAAUAAAAAUCUGCAGCAUUCAUGUUAAGUCAGCUU